AGAGAGAUUGAGAACUACCGUGGGAGGCCUAAUGUUAGCUAAGAUUACCACGACGGUCCCAUUUCUCGAGCUUUUUCACACGAUUAGAACUACUAGAUCCGGCAUCGGAGGAGGCGAGGGAGGUGAGGUCCGCCGCAGAUCGGAGAUCGCCGAGCAGCGAAGGCAUGGUGGGGGGACGGGAGCGGAACCCUAGCCGCCAACGCGACCGUGGAUUAACAGAUCGGCGGCGGGGGAGCGAUCGGACAUCAGAGGGCGGCGGCGACGACGGAUUUGGAGGCGAGGGUUGGGGAUUU
rnacentral:misc_RNA from 1 species